GUGAAUCAUCGAAUCUUUGAACGCAAAUUGCACUUGCUGGUAUUCCGGAAAGUAUGCCUGUUUGAGGGUCAUUUAAAUAAAAAUCGGUGUUGGUGCUGCUUUUCGUGGUGGCGCGUCGGAAUUGAGCUGUCUUACCUUCGUUUAAGUGACGUAGAAUUUUGCAUGGUUUUCGAACGUAUGUAAAUUUCUUACGUACGGUUGAGAUAUCGAAUACUUUAUUAGGUUCGGUCAUCCACAUGAGUCGCACCUAUAAUUGUUCAUUAAAUGACCUCAAAUCAGGUAAGUAUACCCGCUGAACUUA
rnacentral:misc_RNA from 1 species